CUUUUUAUUAUUAAUUAUUAUUAAAGCAUAUGUCAAGGAGUAAUUUGACUCAAAAUAACAGAAACCAAAUACCCAAAGCAAAUUGCAGUAGUGAUUUUCAAAUAACAUAAGUGAAUCGGAGUUUUUAGUUCUCCAUUUUCAAUUAGUAUUCUGUGGACAGUUUCCUGCAGGGAUCAAGAAGUAGAAAAUGAUAAUCUUCACAAAUGAAGAACUAUAUCAAUCACUUUGCAAAGACUGAAUUUAAUGAAAAAUAUUUUUAUUUUAUUUAACAAUUAAACUGAUACUACUUUCGUCAAAUAAUUUUUUAACUAAUACUUUCUCAUUUCUCGUAGUUUUCACUGUGAUAAAGAUAUAGAACAUAUUUCUGCAAAGGAGGUAAGGUUAGCAUUAUUGACAUUUGGAAUGAUCAACGUUACACUGAAACAGGUAUCCCAGUGAAUUUGCAGCUUUCUAUCCACAGCUUUCUCUGCAAAUCUUCAUUGUAGGACUUGUCUGCAGAUUUAGUUUUUUGACCAUUGUAGAGAUAGCAACCCCCAACUCCUUCAAGUUCAGGUGAUACUGAAGCAUAGACUGAUGUAGCAGCACCUUCUUCUGGAGUCUGUAAAAUUGAAUACAUUGAAUAAAUUAAACAAUAUUCUAAAUAGAUUAUUAGAGUUGGUGAAUGAUAG